rnacentral:rRNA from 1 species
CAGUCGCCACGGGAAUACGUAUGGGGCAAGCGUUAUCCGGAUUUACUGGGCGUAAAGGGAGCGUAGGCGGCAGGGCAAGUCAGAUGUGAAAGACCGGGGCUCAACUUCGGGGUUGCAUUUGAAACUGUCCGGCUAGAGUGUCGGAGAGGUAAGCGGAAUUCCUAGUGUAGUGGUGAAAUGCGUAGAUAUUAGGAGGAACAUCGGUGGCGAAGGCGGCUUACUGGACGAUAACUGACGCUGAGGCUCGAAAGCGUGGGGAGCAAACAGGAUUAGAUACCCCUGUAGUCCCUGUCUCUUAUAC